AUUUUGCAUACUGGCAGCGACAAGUUGAGACUUGUUCAACUUGACACAGUCCUGUGGUCAUAGCGAAUCUUUCUAAAGCUCUGAUCAGUCAAGAAGGGGGUUGUAUCAAUCCUCAGAACCCUGAGUGGAACUUUCUACAGGAUUUAUUAGGAGAAAAACCUUCCCGGAAGCUGCAGAAGGACAAAUACAGAAUCCGUGUCUGGGAGAAACCUCGUGGCCUGGUCUCCAUUAUUUGAGAUGAGUUACAUCUUGGAGGCCUGAUCUUUUGGCCAGAAGGAGAUUAAAAAGAUGCCCCUCAAGAUGGCUGUGCCUGUCAGCUGCAUGGAGCUUCGUUCAAGUAUUUUCUGAGCCUGAUGGAUUUACAGUGAUCUUCAGUGGUCUGGGGAAUAACGCUGGUGGAACCAUGCACUGGAAUGACACACGCCCGGCACAUUUCAGGAUACUAAAAGUGGUUUUAAGGGAGGCUGUGGCUGAAUGCCUCAUGGAUUCUUACAGCUUGGAUGUCCAUGGGGGACGAAGGACUGCAGCUGGCUGAGAGGGUUGAGAUCUCUGUUUACUUAGAUCUCUGCCAACUUCCUUUGGGUCUCCCUAUGGAAUGUAAGACCCCGACUCUUCCUGGUGAAGCAUCUGAUGCACGUUCCAUCCGGCGCUCAGCUGGGCUUGAGCUGACCAUACUCCCUGGAGCCUUCUCCCGAGGUGCGCGGGUGACCUUGGCACAUACAGCCAUCAUGAUGGUACUUUAAGUGGAGGCUGAAUCAUCUCCCCUUUGAGCUGCUUGGCACGUGGCUCCCUUGGUGUUCCCCUUUUACUGCCAGGACACUGAGAUUUGGAGAGAAUCCUGUUACACCUGGGAUUUAGGCACUUUCAAUCUGAAAAAAUACAUAUCCUUUCAGCACUCUGGACGGACUUGAGAACUGUCCUUACGUGACCUAAAGCUGGAGUAUUUUGAGAUUGGAGAAUUAAGAAGGACAGAAUAACGGGCUCCCAGAUUCACAAGCCCCACCAAGAGGAUCACCCCAGGAACGCUUGGAGGCUGAGGAGUUCACUGAGGCUACUGCAUCUUGAGACUCAGGAUGAAGACCCAGCUUGGGGCUGUCAAAGGUUUUUUGCAUGUCUGACACCCAUGACUCCACCUGGACCUUAUGGCUCCACCCAGAAGCAAUUCAGCCCAACAGGAGGACAGCUUCAACCCAUUACGAUUUCAUCUCUGCCCCAACCACUCAGCAGCAAGCACCUGUUACCUGUCCACCCCCACCCCUUCCCCCAAACUGCCUUUGAAAAAUCCCUAACCUAUGAGCUUUGAAUAAGAUGAGUACGAACUUCAUCGCCCACGUGGCGUGGCCGGCCUCGUGUCUAUUAAAUUCUUUUUCUACUACAA
rnacentral:lncRNA from 1 species